GACGAACGCUGGCGGCAUGCCUAAUACAUGCAAGUCGAGCGAACAGAUGAAGUGCUUGCACUUCUGACGUUAGCGGCGAACGGGUGAGUAACACGUAAGGAAUCUACCUAUAAGCGGGGGAUAACAUUCGGAAACGGGUGCUAAUACCGCAUAAUAUCUUCUUCCGCAUGGAAGGAGAUUGAAAGACGGCUCUGCUGUCACUUAUAGAUGACCUUGCGGUGCAUUAGUUAGUUGGUGGGGUAACGGCCUACCAAGACGAUGAUGCAUAGCCGACCUGAGAGGGUGAGCGGCCACAUUGGGACUGAGACACGGCCCAAACUCCUACGGGAGGCAGCAGUAGGGAAUCUUCCGCAAUGGGCGAAAGCCUGACGGAGCAAUGCCGCGUGAGUGAAGAAGGCCUUCGGGUCGUAAAACUCUGUUAUAAGAGAAGAACAAAUUGUAGAGUAACUGCUACAGUCUUGACGGUAUCUUAUCAGAAAGCCACGGCUAACUACGUGCCAGCCGCCGCGGUAA
rnacentral:rRNA from 1 species